UCCUGGAGGAAGGCUGUUCCCAUCUCACCACCACUGGAUUUUCUACAGGACCAUCUCUACUCCACAGAACCACAUCUGUUACUCCAGGAGGACUUAUUUGGACUGUUUCCAACACCCUGAUCACCAGGGUGCCAGGAGGGAAGAGCUUGGGAGGGGACACAGACAGGACAGCUGACCCUGACUGACCGUAUUCCACAACAUGUGGUAUUCCUUUAUGAGACCAGACGACCGCCGAGGGCAAAAGGAAAGAGUCUGCCUUCUCUCACCAGAUUUUUCUCCCUGGUCUCACUGGUGUGGUGUGAGCAUGCAAAAGGAUGGUGGCUUAGCUGCUGGUGAGAGUCAACCCACCUUGUGC